rnacentral:rRNA from 1 species
AUCCGUAGCGCGUACUGACACUGCAAGUCGAACGAUGAAGCCUAGCUUGCUGGGUGGAUUAGUGGCGAACGGGUGAGUAACACGUGAGCAACCUGCCCCUGACUCUGGGAUAAGCGCUGGAAACGGCGUCUAAUACUGGAUAUGUCCCAUCACCGCAUGGUGUGUGGGUGGAAAGAUUUUUCGGUUGGGGAUGGGCUCGCGGCCUAUCAGCUUGUUGGUGAGGUAAUGGCUCACCAAGGCGUCGACGGGUAGCCGGCCUGAGAGGGUGACCGGCCACACUGGGACUGAGACACGGCCCAGACUCCUACGGGAGGCAGCAGUGGGGAAUAUUGCACAAUGGGCGGAAGCCUGAUGCAGCAACGCCGCGUGAGGGAUGACGGCCUUCGGGUUGUAAACCUCUUUUAGCAGGGAAGAAGCGAGAGUGACGGUACCUGCAGAAAAAGCACCGGCUAACUACGUGCCAGCAGCCGCGGUAAUACGUAGGGUGCAAGCGUUAUCCGGAAUUAUUGGGCGUAAAGAGCUCGUAGGCGGUCUGUCGCGUCUGCUGUGAAAUUCCGAGGCUCAACCUCGGGCUUGCAGUGGGUACGGGCAGACUAGAGUGCGGUAGGGGAGAUUGGAAUUCCUGGUGUAGCGGUGGAAUGCGCAGAUAUCAGGAGGAACACCGAUGGCGAAGGCAGAUCUCUGGGCCGUAACUGACGCUGAGGAGCGAAAGGGUGGGGAGCAAACAGGCUUAGAUACCCUGGUAGUCCACCCCGUAAACGUUGGGAACUAGUUGUGGGGUCCUUUCCACGGAUUCCGUGACGCAGCUAACGCAUUAAGUUCCCCGCCUGGGGAGUACGGCCGCAAGGCUAAAACUCAAAGGAAUUGACGGGGACCCGCACAAGCGGCGGAGCAUGCGGAUUAAUUCGAUGCAACGCGAAGACCUUACCAAGGCUUGACAUACACGAGAACGGGCCAGAAAUGUCAACUCUUUGGAACACUCGUGAACAGUGUGCAUGUGGUCGUCAGCUCGUGUCGUGAGAUGUUGGUAGUCCGCACGAGCGCACUCGUUCUUAUGUUGCCAGCACGUAUGUGGACUCAUGGAUACUGCCGGGUCACUCGAGAGGUGGGAUGACGUCAUCAUCAUGCCUUAUGUCUUGCUCAGCAUGCUCAAUGCCGUCAUGCUCGAAUCUUGAGUGAGCAUCCUAAGCCGUUCCAGUUCGA